CAGGCCAGGACCAAGCCCUGAAUGCAGCCCAGCUCUGCCAAGUGCCCUGGGCUGUGAGCAGCCCAAGGCAAGAGGCUGCAGCCCCGCCGGCCGGCGCUGGGGGCUCCUGGUGCUGCCCGUGGGCUGGGAUGCUGGAAUUGCCUCUCUGGGUGUGUGCUGAGCUCUGGCUGCAGGGGACUGUCAGGCCUUGGUGGCUCCUCCUUGCAGCUCCCAGCCAGGAAAACCUGGGA